rnacentral:ncRNA from 1 species
AGGUUAAGUCUAAAGGGACGGAGCCGAAGCGAAAGCGAGUCUUAAUAGGGCGGUAAGUUGAAUGCUGUAGACCCGAAACCCGGCGAGCUAGCCAUGAGCAGGUUGAAGUUUGAGUAAAAUCAAAUGGAGGACCGAACUAGGGCCUGUUGAAAAAGGCUUGGAUGACUUGUGGCUAGGGGUGAAAUUCCAAUCGAGCUGGGAUAUAGCUGGUUCUCCCCGAAAUAACUUUAGGGCUAGCGUUAAACAAGAGUUUUAUGAAGGUAGAGCACUGAAUAGUAGAUGGUCCCACCUCGGGAUACUGACAUUAAUCAAACUCCGAAUGUCAUAAAACGCGUUUAGCAGUCAGACUGCGAGUGAUAAGGUCCGUGGUCAAAAGGAAAAGAGUCCAGACCGCCAAAUAAGGUCCCAAAAUAUAUGCUAAGUGGAGAAGGAUGUAGAGAUGCCUAAACAACUAGGAUGUUGGCUUAGAAGCAGCCAUCAUUUAAAGAGUGCGUAAUAGCUCACUAGUCGAGUGACUCCGCGCCGAAAAUGUACCGGGGCUAAGCAUAUUACCGAAUUUGCGGAUUCGAUACGAAAGUAUUGAGUGGUAGGGGAGCGUUCCAUAUUGGGAAGAAGCAAGAUCGAGAGGACUUGUGGACUAUAUGGAAGUGAGAAUGCCGGUGUGAGUAACGAAAAGACAGGUGAGAAUCCUGUCCGUCAAAAACCCAAGGUUUCCAGGGGAAGGGUCGUCCGCCCUGGGUAAGUCUGGGCCUAAGGUGAGGCCGAGAGGCGUAGCUGAUGGAUAUCUGGUGUAUAUUCCAGAACUAGUAUAAUGACUGAUGGAGUGACGAAGAAGGCUAGGAUCCGAUUCUUAGUGGAUUGAAUACGAGAUAUCAAGAGGGGAUGUAGGCAAAUCCGCAUCUAGAAAUCAAGAUAUGACAGGUAAAGGAUAACGAAGUCAAGCUUCCAAGAAAAGCUUCUAGGGUUAAUCAUUAUACUACCAGUACCGUAAACCGACACAGGUGGGUAGGAAGAGAAUUCUAAGACGCGCGAGAAAACCCUUGUUAAGGAACUCUGCAAGUUGGCCCCGUAAGUUCGCAAUAAGGGGAGCUCAUGUAAAAGUGAGCCACAGAAAAGAAGCCCAAGCAACUGUUUAACAAAAACACA